rnacentral:misc_RNA from 1 species
UACAUGCAGGCAGAGCUGGACAACAACCUGCUGCAAGAGAAUCGACGAGCUAGUAGAAGUGAAGCAGGAACAGGAGGAGCGGAUCGUAUCACCGACCAACCUGAAGAUUGGCCCGUACUUCUUGGCGAGCACGAGGAAGACGUCCGGGCCGUGCCUCGCCAGCAGGUGGAGGUGGCCGACGAACGGCAGCGGAACGGGCCCCGGCACGUGCCGCACCUUCCAGUACGGCUCGUACAGGUACACGACCAGCAGGAACCCCACGGCCAUGGCCGCCGAGGUGAAGGUGCACUCCUCCAUCGCACGCAGAACCGCGCUUGCCAACAUCUUCCGCUCCUCCUUGUCUUCCAGCUGCUUGGACGUUUCUUAGUCAAGACGACGCGGCCGGCCCCUUCAGUAUCUCAGACGCCCCAUUGCUGUCACUUUAGAUUCAUACAUACCUACAUAUUUAUAAAUUCAAGUGAUAGUAUCGGUGGAGAAAUGGCCAGAACAGGGUGGGAGGUACCAAGUGGGUU